rnacentral:rRNA from 1 species
GAUGAACGCUGGCGGCGUGCCUAAUACAUGCCAGUCGAGCGAACAGACGAGGAGCUUGCGCCUCUGACGUUAGCGGCGGACGGGUGAGUAACACGUGGAUAACCUACUUAUAAGACUGGGAUAACUUCGGGAAACCGGAGCUAAUACCGGAUAACAUGUUGAACCGCAUGGUUCAACAGUGAAAGACGGUCUUGCUGUCACUUAUAGAUGGAUCCGUGCCGCAUUAGCUAGUUGGUAAGGUAACGGCUCACCAAGGCUACGAUGCGUAGCCGACCUGAGAGGAUGAUCAGCCACACUGGAACUGAGACACGGUCCAGACUCCUACGGGAGGCAGCAGUGGGGAAUAUUCGACAAUGGGCGCAAGCCUGACCGAGCAACACCGCGUGAGUGAAGAAGGUCUUCGGAUCGUAAAGCUCUGUUAUUAGGGAAGAACAGAUGCAUAAGUAACUAUGCACGUCUUGACGGUACCUAAUGAGUAAGCCCCGGCUAACUACGUG